AUUUAAGAUGCAGAAUGAAGGGCCCAUUUAUUGGUCACUUAGUCACUUGUGAUUGUGGUCAAAUUGCAGGGAGGGGAAUGGAACAGACAAGGCAGGACAGAUGCUAGUUGCAGUGGGUGCAGCAGAUGACUCAUGGCAGGUGCUUGUUUGUGAAACAAAGGAGAAACAGAGGUGGUGGUUGGAAAGGCUGAGAGUUGUGAAGUUUCUUUUUUCAUUUUUUAAUGUGUCAGCCUGAGGUAGACAUGACAGCUUUUGGCAGGGAGCAUGGACAAGACUUGCUGACCAGAUGUGGAGGGGAGCACAGAGAGGAGUCAUCUCCCAGAGGUAUAGCUUAGGUAGCAUGUGGGGGCCCACAGGGUUUCUUAGACUCUGCCCAUCUGGCCUCUGCUCUUGAACGUGACUGGAAGUGAGAUCUGCUGCAUGGUUAGGCAAACGGGGAGGUUUGCUUCAGGCUCAAGCACCCUUCAAGGUCCUUUACAUCUAUCCCCCACCUCUCCUUAUCUAGUUAGUUCUCAUCCUGUGACCAGGUCAGCUUCCCAAUUCCCGCCUCUGUUCUCCCAGGUCUGCUGACAUUGCCUGGGAUGCCCUUCAUAGCUGUCUUGAGCAAUGUCUAGUUGCUCUGUGCCUGACCUCAUUAGACUUGUAAGGUCCUUUUCAAAAAGGUAGGCUCUACUUCCUGCUCAAGGUCUUCACCUGCAAGGCCUAUUAUACACGAUUUCCAGUUGUCAACUAGUUAAGUCCUACUCAAGUCCCAAAUCUUAAGGUCCACUUUCUUGUUACAUAGCUACCAGCCAUAGUGUGUGCACCAUAGUUGUAUACCAGAAGAGCCUGAUGGUAUUCACACUCUGUGGUCCAACUAUCUCAACACUGCAAAAUUUAAAAAAUACUUGGUUACAAUCUCUUGCUCCAAAGCAAUGGUGGAGAUACAGCCCCUUAUUCCCUGGGGUGAGUACUGCCUUCCUUACUAGCCGGUGAACUACAGGCGGCCAAUGAUGCCAAAGUUUCUCAACUGUGGACCCAGCACCAGUCCUGUCCCCCAGCUCCAGGGAGAACCAACAUCAUCAAGGAAAUGAAUAUGCUUGCUCAUGCCAACAAGCUAGAGGGCCCAGGACCCUUUCACCAAGUGACCAAUACUAACAACUCUGGCCUUCCUGUCCCCUUGACCUGGAGACCUCACCUUUCAUUCUUAGUCCCAGUCUUAACUAACCUAGGAUAAUGCAAGAAAACAAAUUGUAUAGGGACUAGCAUAUACUUAGAGCAGUUAGAAGUGUUCACUGACUACUCCCUCAUUCAACCAAUCAAUGCAGGGAGAAAUCUUCAUUCCACCUGGGAAGGGCUUGUAGGAUCUGGUCCUCAGUCUGGCUCACUACUCUCUUUUCAUCCUAUCAGCUUAGCCACAUGAACAAAGCCUAAGACAGAUACCUCCUGCUUCUGGACAGUACACAUGGAAAACACUCAAAAAUCUGCCUCCCCAAUACUUAGCUCCAUCUUGCUCAACAGCAUGGCUUCAGAUAGUUCUUGCAUGC
rnacentral:lncRNA from 1 species